GGUGGGGAUUAGUGGCGAACGGGUGAGUAACACGUGSGCAAUCUGCCCUUCACUCUGGGACAAGCCCUGGAAACGGGGUCUAAUACCGGAUACCACUACCGCAGGCAUCUGUGGUGGUUGAAAGCUCCGGCGGUGAAGGAUGAGCCCGCGGCCUAUCARCUUGUUGGUGAGGUAAUGGCUCACCAAGGCGACRACGGGUAKCCGGCCUGAGAGGGCGACCGGCCACACUGGGACUGAGACACGGCCCMKACUCCUACGGGAGGCAGCAGUGGGGAAUAUUGCACAAUGGGCGAAAGCCUGAUGCMGCGACGCCKCGUGAGGGAUGACGGCCUUCGGGUUGUAAACCUCUUUCAGCAGGGAARAAGCGAAAGUGACGGUACCUGCARAAGAAKCGCCKUCUAACUACGUGCCARCAGCCGCGGUAAUACUUUUUGGCGCAAGCGUUGUCCGGAAUUA
rnacentral:rRNA from 1 species